CUGGGAACACAGCUUGAGGAGAAGGGUAUCAGUGUGAGAAGGGUCCUGUUCUAACUCCACAUUCAGGUCAGUUCCCGAGGACUUUGCCCAGAGGGAGCGAGACAGUAAGAGCAGGGAGCUACAAAACUCUGCAGGAGAGCUGUCAUUGUAGUGCACGCGGCACGGAAGAUCAAGAUGACAGCCUUUAUGGACACAGUGGAGAGCUGGGUGCUAAGCAGUUGACGGAAAGCUGAUAACCUUGGAAAGUCGCGCAGCAAUUGUGCUGCCGCACCGUAUGAGGACUGUGCCCAGGUUCCUGCCGUGUCGAAAGAAUUGGGCGGGAUAUGAUGUUCAAUGAACUUGAAAAUUUAAUAUCUACUUAAAGGUUAAAUAAAGGUAAAAACAGAAAAUAGAUGUGCUCUGAAGAAAAGUGAAGAUUCAUCCUAUAUGCAGGACAAGACACCUCAAGAGUAAAAGUCCGUUCUAUUGCCGGUUAUCUUCUCUUCUGAUGACCAAUCCAGGCUGCGAUUUGACAGCUCUGUGAUUUAUGGACAGGUCCUGGCACUCUUGUCCAGCUUGCUUGCUGUGCCCUAAUUUCCUGCCUCAAUUGCAGACCUGGCACCCUGCCACUUCUCCACAGUCAAAAUGACGACGAAGGCAAACGCUUUGAAUUGAUUCCAGAUAUCAAAGCAGCCACGACUGGGCAACUAAAGAACACACAGAAAGAACUCCAGGAACUGCUUGAGAAAACAGCAAGGCUCUGGGGUAAGUGUCCUUGCAGGGAGGGGCAGUGAAAACAAACGCUGUGAGUUGUGCUUUCCGUCAUAACUUU
rnacentral:lncRNA from 1 species